ACUAAUUAGCAUCCUCCGAACUGUCACUACGCAUGCGCCUCGACACCAUCUGGUGUUCGGUUUUUCUCCAGAGGCAUUGUGGGAGAUUGAUUGUUAUGGCCGUUGGCGUUGGUAGCUGAGCUUUGACCCAGAAAAUAUAAGAAUUAUUAGAUGCUAGAAAUUAUGAACCUAAGAAGUAUAUUUAGUAUUAGUAAAGUAUCAAUAGGGUGGAAUAGAAAAUUUGCCAUGUUUUUUUGCUGUGGUGAAAUUUUCACAUGUAUUAUGAAGCGAAAAUUAAGAGCUUCAUCUUUUUGUAAGAUUGCGAGAUGAAGUUGGCUGUAAAGGAAUGAUUACCAAUUCAUCGUAAAGUAUGGGUGAAUGAUGUGUACGGUGAACCUUCUCGAUUCAGAUCGUUUGAGGUAUGGAUUUUGGAAGAUUUGAAUAUUGAAGAGCAUUAAGUGUCUUUAAAAUGAAUUAAUCUUUGACUUAUUCACAGAUCUGCAUUCGGAUUGGUCGAAAAUCUAUGAAAAAUGAUGCUGUUUUAGAAGGUUGAAAAGUGAAAGUGGUACUAGGUACUUUUUUGAAAAUGGUAUCAGAUAGCUUGAAUGUGAGAUGCAUAGGAGUAAUAUGCAAUACUGCUGUUAUAAUAUUCAUUAAGAAGAAAUAGAAACCUAAAUAGAACAUUUUUUUGUGUGCAUGUUUUUAAAAAUUUCUGUGUGUUUGAAGAAGCUGAAAAAAGUCUUUUUUCGAAAGAAAAAGUGUGUGUCAGAAGAAAAGUAUGUAUUAUAUAAUAAUAAAAUUUUGUUUCUAAACAAAUAUAUAAUGAAAUAAUAAUAAUAAAAUUAUAUUUUGAACUGAAUAUUUGAUUAAUUUAUUUUUGCACCAGCAUUAAACAGUUGGACUAUAACGUUGAUUAUGAGUGAAUAAAAGAAGCAUAGGUCUGUUAUAAAAGAAAAGAAAGAAAUCGGUUAAUCACAACAUUACUCUGGUAUAUAGCAAUAGUGACCUGCAACUCUUUCAGGAGCAACUUUGCAGUCAAAGAUAGAUCAAUAGAUUAUUGCCUUAUGUUAUGGAAGCAGAAUGUAAAAUGGGCUUUAAAAACAAGCUUAUUAAAAUUUUCUUUGUAUCCUUUUUCCAAACCUCCUUCAUCCAAAUCUUCCAACUAUUAAACCAGCUACCUCUAUAUUCCUCUAUCUAAACUCGUAUUAUUUAAAGUGGGUAUAAUAUUACUUUAAUAUAUUCUAUUGCUAAAUCUAUACGAAAAACACUUCUCAUUGUAUGCUGCAAAUAUAAGAGUUCAUGGGUGUGUGGUCAAGGUUCAGUCGGACUCCGAACAAAAUUUUAAUUAUCAUUCCUAAACAAAUCUCGGAAGAAAAAAA